CUAAAACCACCGAGGGUUUGAAUUCAGAGCACAUCCUUUUUCUCCCUCUGCACUGAAUCGUUACCGCCAUAUAACAAUCAAACAAGUAAAUGAGUAUGUGAACAUAACCCCAUGUAUUUAUGCGUUAAAUCUGACAUAACGUGAAGGGACCUGGCUAUCAAAUGAUUCAUCUGGACAGUCAGGAUUUUUUUGUUGCAUAGUCUGUGUCCUUUGGCUUAUUAAAGAUUUACCAAAGCCUCUGACAGAUUCGAUUUCAGCUGAGCAGAGUUUGGAUUUUUCUUUAAAGCUUCUGGUUCGCUGGACUUUCCAUGCACGACAUCAGAGGAGAGACCAGAGGAACGUUGACUCAAAGGUUAUGAACAAACACCAAACCGAACUUUUGGGGGGAAACAGCUGGAAAGAAAAACUUGGACUUUGCCAAACUGAGAAAAAGACACCUCUCCAGGAACAUUGUGGUGCAUAUGUCCAUGACAAGAAGCAUCAACAUGGAAGAAUGUGAAGAAUCAGCCAACAUCACUGAUAACGUUCACGACGAAGAAGAGAAACAAAUCUUUCCCUAUCCCCCCUUAUUUAAAUGAAGAAUAUUCAUUUCAGUACGUUGAACACAUCCCCCCUUAACAAUUGUCCUUCUAAUAAAUAAUUUCUUGCUUUAACCCCUGA